UACGGGGGGGGUAAGCGUUGUCCGGAAUUACUGGGCGUAAAGCGCGUGUAGGCGGCUACGCAAGUCGGAUGUGAAAUCCCGUGGCUCAACCACGGAAGUGCACCCGAAACUGCGCAGCUGGAGUCUCGGAGAGGAAGGUGGAAUGCUUGGUGUAGAGGUGAAAUUCGUAGAUAUCAAGCGGAACACCGGUGGCGAAGGCGGCAUCCUGGACCAAUAUUGACGCUGAGGAGCGAAAGCCAGGGGAGCAAACGGG
rnacentral:rRNA from 1 species